AUACGUAGGUCCCGAACGUUGCGCGAAAUUACUGGGCGUAAAGGGUCCGUAGGCGGUCUGGUAAGUGGAAGGUGAAAGCCUGGGGCUCAACUCCAGAAUUGCCUUCCAAACUGCCGGACUUGAGGCAGGGAGAGGUCGGCGGAAUUCCCGGUGUAGUGGUGAAAUGCGUAGAUAUCGGGAGGAACACCAGUGGCGAAGGCGGCCGACUGGAACUGUCCUGACGCUUAGGGCCGAAAGCCAGGGGAGCGAACCGGAUUAGAUACCCUAGUAGUCC
rnacentral:rRNA from 1 species